UACGAAGGGGGCUAGCGUUGUUCGGAAUUACUGGGCGUAAAGCGCACGUAGGCGGAUACUUAAGUUAGGGGUGAAAUCCCGGGGCUCAACCCCGGAACUGCCUUUGAUACUGGGUAUCUGGAGUCCGAGAGAGGUGAGUGGAAUUCCGAGUGUAGAGGUGAAAUUCGUAGAUAUUCGGAGGAACACCAGUGGCGAAGGCGGCUCACUGGCUCGAUACUGACGCUGAGGUGCGAAAGCGUGGGGAGCAAACAGG
rnacentral:rRNA from 1 species